GAAAAAGAGAAACCAAGCAGCAAAAAACAGCGGUGCCAAAAUCGAAGACGUUUAUGGGCAAUAACGACUGUCCUCCUCUCUCGCAUUGUUUUGUUUUUAUCCUCUCUUGAAACUUUUUUCUUCUUUUUCCCUCCUCUCUCUUCGAAUGAUGGUGGAUAGGAAGGGGGUCUUGUUAAGGGGGAGCGGAAGUAUUCGAAGACGUGGUGCGACUUAAGGGGGAGCGGGAAGGAAAGAAAAACCAAGCAGCAAAAACAGCAGUGCCAGAAAUCGAAGAGGUUACGACUCUUUUCCUCCUCUUCUUCUUUCUUCUAAUGAU
rnacentral:ribozyme from 1 species